rnacentral:rRNA from 1 species
CCUACGGGAGGCAGCAGUGAGGAAUAUUGGUCAAUGGCCGCAAGUCUGAACCAGCCAAGUCGCGUGAAGGACGACGGUGCCAAGCAUUGUAAACUUCUUUUGUCCAGGGACAAACUCAGUCACGAGUGCCUGAUUGAGGGUACUUGAAGAAAAAGCAUCGGCUAAUUCCGUGCCAGCAGCCGCGGUAAUACGGAGGGUGCGAGCGUUAUCCGGAUUUAUUGGGUUUAAAGGGUGCGUAGGCGGACUGUUAAGUCAGCGGUAAAAGCCCGGGGCUCAACCCCGGCGAGCCGUUGAAACUGGCUGGCUUGAGAGGGCGAGAGGUAGGCGGAAUGCGGAGUGUAGCGGUGAAAUGCUUAGAUAUUGCGAAGAACUCCGAUUGCGAAGGCAGCAUACCGGCGGGGAUCUGACGCUGAGGCACGAAGGCGUGGGUAUCGAACAGGAUUAGAUACCCUAGUAGUC